UCUGUGGUGCACUUUCUCCUUUGGCUCAUUUCUCAGAAGUCUCUUCCUACUCCUCCUGACUGCUCUCCUCAGCGUGGACGUGGACACGUGUCGUUUUGUCCUGUUCUUCACAAGCAAAGGCUGAGUUGCUGCCAUAGGCCCUGCUCACAAGACCAGCGGGGCUCAGAACUCUCCAUCUCCCCCAGAUGACAGGAGGGGCUUCUUCCCUCCAGCGUUUUGUAUGGUACCCAAGUGCAGCAUCAAGUGACUGCUCCCCUCCUGUGAAGGGGGCCUCCAUCCACCUUCAGACAGAAACUCACUCCAGGCAACCAAGAAGCCAGACCUCACCAGGCAUUUUUGUUUUCUUCCAUUUCUCCAUUUUGUACCAAAACCAGAAAAACAAGCUACCUGACAGCUACACACACCUGAGAUCAUAGGAAAUGCCUGGAAGGAAGCUUCAGGUCAGGAAUCUUCACAGAGGUCUAGGAACAGCAAGGAUCCUGUGACCGCUUCCGAGGGGUGAUUCUGAGCACACAGCUUACGGGAAACCCAGUGAUGUUCACUAAAAUUGUAAAGCUGUUCAGAGCUCUGCAGAUGCAGCUUGGUGGUAAAGCACUUGUCCAGGUGCACAGGCCCCAACACCAGAGCUCCAGCACCAGAAGAAUAAAGCAGCAAAGGGAACAAUCUGACUCAGUGCCUACACGUUCAAGAAUCCUCCCCUUAAAAAUAAACACCACCAGAAUCGAUUUCUCAUCUGUCUGUCUAUCCUCCCUCAUGUCUCAUCUAUCGUCUAUGUAUCUAAUAUCUAUCUACAUUCUGUUAACUAUCAUCUAUAUUUCUAUUAUUUAAUUAUUGUCUUCUAUCUAGGUAUCUAUCAUCUACCUAUCCACUGUCUACUUAUUUAUCCAUCAAUCUACCUUCUGUGCCUGCUUGUACACACACACACACACACACACACACACACACACACACACACACACACACACACACACACGAGUCACAUAUGCAUUGCACACCCUCCUGUUUGAACGUUGUCUAUAAAUCAAGGUUUUGGGAAAAUCAGGUGCCAGCAGUAAGGAAAAGCUGAAAUAUGGAGACACAUCCUUCCAAUGUCCCUGCUGUACAAUUAAAUGAAAUCCUACAGAUGAAGGACUUGGCAGCUACAAAUACACAUAGGAAAUGUUCUUCUUUAUGAUAUGUCUGUUAUCUUUAUUUAUACUUACAGAGUUUGGCUUUUGUGCAACCCAUACAAAGAUGUAAAGGAUCCAUGUGUAAGAUUCAUCUUGAAGAACAAGACCCUUUCAGUGACCAUCUCAGGGAGACAGGCCUGCAGCCGAGGAGGAGGCAGAGACAUCUGUCCUUGCUUGUGACGUGUCUUUCUUAAGGUGGAUGGUCCCCACAGUGUAAUACUUUAUUAUCCUUCAAGCACUUCUGGACGCCUAAAACAUUUCCUAAUUUUUCAGAGUACUGAGCUCUGAAACCGUAAGAAGCCCUUGUCAUCAUACUGCACAGAGUCACCAUAGGGACCGGAGGGCCUACCACCCUUCCCCCAAGUACCGAGCUUCCUAUGUUGGUCUACAUACCACCCUCUAUCCUAGAGAAAAAUUCUAACUUUCAGUCAUUGUGAUUUGAGAAAUUUCAUUACAGUUUUUAUGGGUUGUUUUUGCUCUUUA